UUAACGCUGAGGCGUGACGACGAGGCACUACGGUGCUGAAGUGAUAAAUGCCCAGCUUCCAGGAAAAGCCUCUAAGCAUCAGGUAACACAGAAUCGUACCCCAAACCGACACAGGUGGUCAGGUAGAGAAUACCAAGGCGCUUGAGAGAACUCGGGUGAAGGAACUAGGCAAAAUGGUGCCGUAACUUCGGGAGAAGGCACGCUGGCGCGUAGGUGGAGGGACUUGCUCCCCGAGCCGAAGCCAGUCGAAGAUACCAGCUGGCUGCAACUGUUUAUUAAAAACACAGCACUGUGCAAACACGAAAGUGGACGUAUACGGUGUGACGCCUGCCCGGUGCCGGAAGGUUAAUUGAUGGGGUUAUCCGCAAGGAGAAGCUCUUGAUCGAAGCCCCGGUAAACGGCGGCCGUAACUAUAACGGUCCUAAGGUAGCGAAAUUCCUUGUCGGGUAAGUUCCGACCUGCACGAAUGGCGUAAUGAUGGCCAGGCUGUCUCCACCCGAGACUCAGUGAAAUUGAACUCGCUGUGAAGAUGCAGUGUACCCGCGGCAAGACGGAAAGACCCCGUGAACCUUUACUACAGCUUGACACUGAACAUUGAGCCUUGAUGUGUAGGAUAGGUGGGAGGCUUUGAAGCGCGGACGCCAGUCUGCGUGGAGCCAACCUUGAAAUACCACCCUUUAAUGUUUGAUGUUCUAACGUAGGCCCGUGAUCCGGGCUGCGGACAGUGUCUGGUGGGUAGUUUGACUGGGGCGGUCUCCUCCUAAAGAGUAACGGAGGAGCACGAAGGUCAGCUAAUCACGGUCGGACAUCGUGAGGUUAGUGCAAUGGCAUAAGCUGGCUUGACUGCGAGAGUGACGGCUCGAGCAGGUGCGAAAGCAGGUCAUAGUGAUCCGGUGGUUCUGAAUGGAAGGGCCAUCGCUCAACGGAUAAAAGGUACUCCGGGGAUAACAGGCUGAUACCGCCCAAGAGUUCAUAUCGACGGCGGUGUUUGGCACCUCGAUGUCGGCUCAUCACAUCCUGGGGCUGAAGUAGGUCCCAAGGGUACGGCUGUUCGCCGUUUAAAGUGGUACGCGAGCUGGGUUUAGAACGUCGUGAGACAGUUCGGUCCCUAUCUGCCGUGGGCGCUGGAGAAUUGAGGGGGGUUGCUCCUAGUACGAGAGGACCGGAGUGAACGCACCACUGGUGUUCGGGUUGUCAUGCCAAUGGCAUUGCCCGGUAGCUAAGUGCGGAAAAGAUAAGUGCUGAAAGCAUCUAAGCACGAAACUUGCCCCGAGAUGAGUUCUCCCUGACUCCUUGAGAGUCCUGAAGGGACGUUGAAGACUACGACGUUGAUAGGCCGGGUGUGUAAGCGCAGCGAUGCGUUGAGCUAACCGGUACUAAUGACCCGUGAGGCUUAACCUUACAACGCCAGAGGCGUUU
rnacentral:rRNA from 1 species